rnacentral:lncRNA from 1 species
CUCGCCCAGCGGCCGCGACGCUAUGGCGCACUGGAGUACCCUGUUCCUGGCAGGUCCCACUCCAUUGCCCAAGCUGAAGUUCAGUGGCACGAACAUGUUUCACUGCAGCCUCAACCUCCUGGGCUCAAGCUGUCCUGCCUCAGCCUCCCGUGUAGCUGGGACCACAAGCACUCGCCAUCACACCUGGAUAAUUUUUUGAUGUUUCAUGGAGACAGUGCUUCACUUUGUUGCCUAUGCUGGUCUUGAACUCCUGGCCUCAAGCAAUCCUUCUGCUUUGGCCUUCCAGAGUGCUGAAAUUACAGGCUCCAGUCUGGGCCACAGAGUAAGACUCUAUCUCAAAAAAAAAAAAAAAGAUUCUUGUUAUGAUGACCAGGCUCGUCUCAAAUUCCUAGGCUCAAGCAAUCCUCUUGCCUUAGCCUCCCAAAGUGGUUGGAUUAUAGGCAUGAGCUACCGUGCUGGCCAAAAUAGAAUGUUAGUGACACACCCUACAUUGAAUUUACUUGGAAGGCUGAUUCUUUUCCCAUGCCCUCCCUAAAUUCAUCCUCUGAAUCCUUUAUCAGAACCACUUCCCACAGACUUGGUGUUAUGGUAAACUGAGGAACAGAGAUACUGAUAUGGGAACACAGGAAGAUAUUCAUUUUAAGAGAAUCAGUGCCGCGGUCCCUUGCUUCCCUCACCUACUCUUAUCCCAAGUGGCGGUGGCGGCAGCGCAGAGCAGCUUCUGAAGGUCCAGGAGCUCUUUUGUUCCUCCUCUGCAAAGCAAAGGUGCCACAGGGCGCGGCUUUCCGAGAAAGCGUACUCCGCACGGUGCACCUCUCCGUCUGCAGGCGCUGAGCCCCCGGAGGAGGAGGGGGCAGGCUCGCGGAGCCCCUACCCUGGGGCGGGGCCAAGGCGUCCUCCCAGCCCGGCUUUGCAGAGCAGAGAUCUGGUGUCUCCAGUUUACGGAGGCACUUUCAGAACUGAUCAGAAGCCACCCCGCUUAUCAGCAGAUCUCAGGAGAGUGUUCAGUGGAGGCCCUGCCGGUCUGCACAGCUCACCUCCCUGGGAACUGCUCGCCUGAGCGUCGGAGCCGGCCCUGGCCCCCUGCAGCCAGAAAGUUGCAGCCGCAGGAGCCCCGGAGGCCCAGGACGCAGGGGGAGGAACAGGAAGAGAAGAGUGUGGCCUCCUAGAAAUCUAGCACGGAGAAAGUAGACAAUGAUGGCAUCAGAGUGAGAGGCUGGAUGAGGAUGUGUCUGGGGGAGCUUCGAGGUGCUGUGAUGUGUAAGAGAUCAUUAAUUCCAGGAUGCCACCCCAAGGAGAAUAUGCAUGGACCAAAGAUGAGGGGUCCCCAGGAGGGUGAACCAAUAGUAAGGCCCCCAGAUUCCAUCCCUAGCCAGGCUCCCUGCUAAGUGGCAAUUAGAAAAAUUCCUCUUUACAGAAAACAGAGCAUCAAUUAGGUCCCCAAUUACAGAGCCAGUCCUCUACCCUCUAGUGAAAGCUUCCAGUGGACAAGAAAAGCUUGAGAAAGCCAGAAGGAAUAGGAACCCACAGCUCAGGCCGGGCCGAGGCUUCAUAAAUCAAAAGGACAUUUUUUUUUUUUGAGAGAUAAGGUCUCACUCCAUCACCCAGGCUGGUGUGCAGUGACCCAAUCAUGGCUCACUGCAGCCUUGAACUCGUGAGCUCAAGUGAUCCUCCCAGCUCAGCCUCCUGAGUAGCUGGGACCACAGGUGCACACCACCAUGCCUUGCUAACUUUUAUUUUUAUUUUUGAGACACAGUCUCGCUCUGUCACCCAGGCUGGAGUGCAAUGGUGCAUUCUUGGCUCACUGCAACCUCCGCCUCCUGGGUUCAAGUGACCCUCCUGCCUCAGCCUCCCAAGUAGCUGGAAUUACAGGUGCAUGCCACCAGGCCCAGCUAAUUUUUGUAUUUUUAUAGAGACAAGGGGUUAAAAAAAAAAUCUCCCCAGUGUCACUUCUCCCAGGAACGUGUGUAUGUGAAUGGCUUAAAAACUGUUGCCCUUGACAAAGAAAUGUACCAAUCUCCAAUGACAGAAUAUUUAAUCGAGGAAAGGUCUCAUUAACAGAUGUUAAUUAAUCUCCGUUAACGACAUGGCCACAGAUGAUAGCCUGGCUGCACAAGUGAACACUCUAGGGUCACGGAAACGACUCCAGACUCUCUUACAAUUGGCAAUAAGACAAGUUAAAUUACAUGAGUGUCUCAAUCCCUUUCUGUAA